rnacentral:rRNA from 1 species
CCUACGGGUGGCUGCAGUGGGGAAUAUUGCACAAUGGGCGCAAGCCUGAUGCAGCCAUGCCGCGUGUGUGAAGAAGGCCUUCGGGUUGUAAAGCACUUUCAGCGGGGAGGAAGGCGGUGAGGUUAAUAACCUCAUCGAUUGACGUUACCCGCAGAAGAAGCACCGGCUAACUCCGUGCCAGCAGCCGCGGUAAUACGGAGGGUGCAAGCGUUAAUCGGAAUUACUGGGCGUAAAGCGCACGCAGGCGGUCUGUCAAGUCGGAUGUGAAAUCCCCGGGCUCAACCUGGGAACUGCAUUCGAAACUGGCAGGCUAGAGUCUUGUAGAGGGGGGUAGAAUUCCAGGUGUAGCGGUGAAAUGCGUAGAGAUCUGGAGGAAUACCGGUGGCGAAGGCGGCCCCCGAGACAAAGACUGACGCUCAGGUGCGAAAGCGUGGGGAGCAAACAGGAUUAGAUACCCCAGUAGUC